CAGCACCGGGAGAGGGGGAUAACCGGCCGAAAGGCUGGCUAAUACCGCAUGAACUCGGAAGAGCAAAGCGGGGGACCUUCGGGCCUCGCGCUCUCGGAGCGGCCGAUGUCCGAUUAGGCUAGUUGGUGGGGUAAAGGCCCACCAAGGCGACGAUCGGUAGCGGGUCUGAGAGGACGAUCCGCCACACUGGGACUGAGACACGGCCCAGACUCCUACGGGAGGCAGCAGUGGGGAAUCUUGGACAAUGGGCGCAAGCCUGAUCCAGCAAUGCCGCGUGGGUGAAGAAGGCCUUCGGGUUGUAAAGCCCUUUCGGCGGGGAAGAAAUCGGCCGGGCGAAUAGUUUGGCUGGAUGACGGUACCCGCAGAAGAAGCACCGGCUAACUACGUGCCAGCAGCCGCGGUAAUACGUAGGGUGCGAGCGUUAAUCGGAAUUACUGGGCGUAAAGGGUGCGCAGGCGGCCCUGUAAGACCGGUGUGAAAUCCCCGGGCUCAACCUGGGAAUUGCGCUGGUGACUGCAGGGCUAGAGUACGGUAGAGGGGGGUGGAAUUCCUGGUGUAGCAGUGAAAUGCGUAGAGAUCAGGAGGAACACCGAUGGCGAAGGCAGCCCCCUGGGCCUGUACUGACGCUCAUGCACGAAAGCGUGGGGAGCAAACAGGAUUAUAUACCCUGGUAGUCCACGCCCUAAACGAUGAGAACUAGCCGUCUGGAGUCUUCGUGCUCUGGGUGGCGCAGCUAACGCGUGAAGUUCUCCGCCUGGGGGAGUACGGCCGCAAGGUUAAAACUCAAAGGAAUUGACGGGGACCCGCACAAGCGGUGGAUGAUGUGGAUAAUUCGAUGCAACGCGAAGAACCUUACCUACCCUUGACAUGCCGGGAAUCCUGCCCAGAGGCGGGAGUGCCUUCGGGAACCCGGACACAGGUGCUGCAUGGCUGUCGUCAGCUCGUGUCGUGAGAUGUUGGGUUAAGUCCCGCAACGAGCGCAACCCUAAUCACUAGUGAA
rnacentral:rRNA from 2 species